ensembl:lncRNA
CAGUGAUUAACAGGAGUACAUCAGGGUUCUUUGGUUUUUCAAAGCUUAUUCUGAGCCAGCUGAAAGUGAAAUAUGUUGUGCUACAACCUUCCAGUGCACUUCAGUGUAAAAAAUUUUACCAUCUGGCUGCUAUUGUUAUCAUUAUUAUGGAAAUGUUUUUACUGUCAGAGGGAAGUACCAGCAGUGGCACUAUCUGAGCACAACAUCAAGAGGCAGCAAGGCAAAUUUGCGUGCCGGGAGUAGAGAAGCGUCUCCAUGCCAGAACAGAAACUCUGGUCCAGCAUUUCCCAUUCAUCUCGUUGCCCUUGUC